rnacentral:rRNA from 1 species
UACGAAGGGUGCAAGCGUUAAUCGGAAUUACUGGGCGUAAAGCGCGCGUAGGCGGCUGUCUAAGUCGGGUGUGAAAGCCCCGGGCUCAACCUGGGAACUGCAUUCGAUACUGGACGGCUAGAGUAUGAGAGAGGGAGGUAGAAUUCCACGUGUAGCGGUGAAAUGCGUAGAUAUGUGGAGGAAUACCGGUGGCGAAGGCGGCCUCCUGGUUCAAUACUGACGCUGAGGUGCGAAAGCGUGGGGAGCAAACAGG